rnacentral:rRNA from 1 species
AACGAACGCUGGCGGCAUGCCUAACACAUGCAAGUCGAACGAGACCUUCGGGUCUAGUGGCGCACGGGUGCGUAACGCGUGGGAACCUGCCCUUAGGUUCGGAAUACCUCCCCGAAAGGGGUGCUAAUACCGGAUAAUGUCUUCGGACCAAAGAUUUAUCGCCUUUGGAUGUGCCCGCGUUGGAUUAGCUAGUUGGUAGGGUAAAAGCCUACCAAGGCGACGAUCCAUAGCUGGUCUGAGAGGAUGAUCAGCCACACUGGGACUGAGACACGGCCCAGACUCCUACGGGAGGCAGCAGUGGGGAAUAUUGGACAAUGGGCGAAAGCCUGAUCCAGCAAUGCCGCGUGAGUGAUGAAGGCCUUAGGGUUGUAAAGCUCUUUUAACCGGGAUGAUAAUGACAGUACCGGGAGAAUAAGCUCCGGCUAACUCCGUG